GCUGGACCUCCUCAGAUCUUGUUUAUGAUAAACUCUACGAUGUCAAGCUGAACCAGUCUCAACAAGGACCAAAGGGACAAGGAACACAAGCACAUCAAACUUUCACUUAAAAAUUGGAGACGUUGCUAAAUCAACAUUUAAUUCUCAGACUGUGGAUGUGAGACACGACGCUGAUGCACAGGUGCGAAUGUGUUAGCUCAUAAGAACACAUCGAGACAGCAACCAAGGCUGGUUAAGUGAAUCAAAACAAAGGAAGUCCUCCUCAUCCUCCCAUCAGAGGGACUGAUGGGAGAAAACACACAGAAUAAACACAAGAUCAGUGAACCAGCUUUGGCUCAGGAGGAAGUGCAGCCAUUUGCCAGAGAGGAAGUUGGCAAUUCCAUUUUUGCUUCCCCACCCUACAUGUCAAAAUGUCCUUGGGCAAGACACUGAACCAAAUGUUGACUCCGAUCUGUCAGGUUGCAUGCAUAUGUGUGUGCUUGCAUGUGGGUGUCUGUGUGUGUGAGAUUAUCAACAAGGAUAGCAGAACAUUGCAUAAAACACACAGUCCAUCUACCAUUUAUAAUUAAGAUGUUCUGUAAUGAAUUUUCUUUAUUACAGCAAGACAGACAGUCAACAACAGGACAGUCUGUUGCUUAGCAGCACCACACUGACUGACAUGAAGUCCUAACACAGUUUCAC